AGUGUCAGCCGCCGCGGUAAUACGUAGGGUGCUAGCGUUGUUCGGAAUCAUUGGGCGUAAAGCGCGUGUAGGCGGUUAGUUAAGUCAGAUGUGAAAUCCCUGGGCUCAACCGAGGAAGUGCAUUUGAAACUAAUUAGCUAGAGAGUGGUAGAGGAAGGUGGAAUUCCGUGUGUAGAGGUGAAAUUCGUAGAUAUACGGAGGAAUACCGGUGGCGAAGGCGGCCUUCUGGACCAUUUCUGACGCUGAGACGCGAAAGCGUGGGGAGCAAACAGGAUUAGAUACCCUGGUAGUCCACGCCGUAAACGAUGGGUACUAGAUGUUGCGGGAAUUGACCCCUGCAGUGUCGACGCUAACGCAUUAAGUACCCCGCCUGGGAAGUACGGCCGCAAGGUUAAAACUUAAAGGAAUUGGCGGGGGAU
rnacentral:rRNA from 1 species